AUUGAACGCUGGCGGCAGGCCUAACACAUGCAAGUCGAGCGGAUGAAGGGAGCUUGCUCCUGGAUUCAGCGGCGGACGGGUGAGUAAUGCCUAGGAAUCUGCCUGGUAGUGGGGGAUAACGUCCGGAAACGGGCGCUAAUACCGCAUACGUCCUGAGGGAGAAAGUGGGGGAUCUUCGGACCUCACGCUAUCAGAUGAGCCUAGGUCGGAUUAGCUAGUUGGUGGGGUAAAGGCCUACCAAGGCGACGAUCCGUAACUGGUCUGAGAGGAUGAUCAGUCACCCUGGAACUGAGACACGGUCCAGACUCCUACGGGAGGCAGCAGUGGGGAAUAUUGGACAAUGGGCGGAAGCCUGAUCCAGCCAUGCCGCGUGUGUGAAGAAGGUCUUCGGAUUGUAAAGCACUUUAAGUUGUGAGGAAGGGCAGUAAGUUAAUACCUUGCUGUUUUGACGUUACCAACAGAAUAAGCACCGGCUAACUUCGUG
rnacentral:rRNA from 1 species